rnacentral:rRNA from 1 species
UACGUAGGGUGCAAGCGUUAAUCGGAAGUACUGGGCGUAAAGCGUGCGCAGGCGGGGAUGUAAGGCAGAUGUGAAAUCCCCGGGCUCAACCUGGGAACUGCAUUUGUGACUGCAUCGCUGGAGUGCGGCAGAGGGGGAUGGAAUUCCGCGUGUAGCAGUGAAAUGCGUAGAUAUGCGGAGGAACACCGAUGGCGAAGGCAAUCCCCUGGGCCUGCACUGACGCUCAUGCACGAAAGCGUGGGGAGCAAACAGG